AGAGUUUGAUCCUGGCUCAGGACGAACGCUGGCGGCGUGCCUAACACAUGCAAGUCGAACGGAACUGUUUUGAAAGAUUUCUUCGGAAUGAAUUUGAUUUAGUUUAGUGGCGGACGGGUGAGUAACGCGUGAGUAACCUGCCUUCAAGAGGGGGAUAACAUUCUGAAAAGGAUGCUAAUACCGCAUGAUAUAUCGGAACCACAUGGUUCUGAUAUCAAAGAUUUUAUCGCUUGAAGAUGGACUCGCGUCCGAUUAGUUAGUUGGUGAGGUAACGGCUCACCAAGACCGCGAUCGGUAGCCGGACUGAGAGGUUGAACGGCCACAUUGGGACUGAGACACGGCCCAGACUCCUACGGGAGGCAGCAGUGGGGGAUAUUGCGCAAUGGGGGCAACCCUGACGCAGCAACGCCGCGUGAAGGAUGAAGGUUUUCGGAUUGUAAACUUCUUUUAUUAAGGACGAAAAAUGACGGUACUUAAUGAAUAAGCUCCGGCUAACUACGUGCCAGCAGCCGCGGUAAUACGUAGGGAGCAAGCGUUGUCCGGAUUUACUGGGUGUAAAGGGUGCGUAGGCGGCUUUGCAAGUCAGAUGUGAAAUCUAUGGGCUCAACCCAUAAACUGCAUUUGAAACUGUAGAGCUUGAGUGAAGUAGAGGCAGGCGGAAUUCCCCGUGUAGCGGUGAAAUGCGUAGAGAUGGGGAGGAACACCAGUGGCGAAGGCGGCCUGCUGGGCUUUAACUGACGCUGAGGCACGAAAGCGUGGGUAGCAAACAGGAUUAGAUACCCUGGUAGUCCACGCUGUAAACGAUGAUUACUAGGUGUGGGGGGUCUGACCCCUUCCGUGCCGGAGUUAACACAAUAAGUAAUCCACCUGGGGAGUACGGCCGCAAGGUUGAAACUCAA
rnacentral:rRNA from 1 species